CCUACGGGCGGCAGCAGUGGGGAAUAUUGGACAAUGGGGGGAACCCUGAUCCAGCCAUGCCGCGUGUGUGAAGAAGGCCCUCGGGUUGUAAAGCACUUUCAGUGAGGAAGAACGCCUGGUGGUUAAUACCCAUCAGGAAAGACAUCACUCACAGAAGAAGCACCGUCUAACUCCGUGCCAGCAGCCGCGGUAAUACGGAGGGUGCGAGCGUUGAUCGGAAUUACUGGGCGUAAAGCGCGCGUAGGUGGCUUGAUAAGCCGGUUGUGAAAGCCCCGGGCUCAACCUGGGAACGGCAUCCGGAACUGUCAAGCUAGAGUGCAGGAGAGGAAGGUAGAAUUCCCGGUGUAGCGGUGAAAUGCGUAGAGAUCGGGAGGAAUACCAGUGGCGAAGGCGGCCUUCUGGACUGACACUGACACUGAGGUGCGAAAGCGUGGGUAGCAAACAGGAUUAGAUACCCUUGUAGUC
rnacentral:rRNA from 1 species